CAGUGUACUAUUAAAAUGGGUC
rnacentral:piRNA from 1 species